rnacentral:rRNA from 1 species
GACGAACGCUGGCGGCGUGCCUAAUACAUGCAAGUCGAGCGGACGAAUCGAAAGCUUGCUUUUGAUUCGUUAGCGGCGGACGGGUGAGUAACACGUGGGCAACCUGCCCUGUAGACGGGGAUAACACCGAGAAAUCGGUGCUAAUACCGGAUAACACGAAAUGUCGCAUGACGUUUCGUUGAAAGACGGCGCAAGCUGUCGCUACAGGAUGGGCCCGCGGCGCAUUAGCUAGUUGGUGAGGUAACGGCUCACCAAGGCGACGAUGCGUAGCCGACCUGAGAGGGUGAUCGGCCACACUGGGACUGAGACACGGCCCAGACUCCUACGGGAGGCAGCAAUAGGGAAUCUUCCGCAAUGGACGAAAGUCUGACGGAGCAACGCCGCGUGAGCGAAGAAGGCCUUCGGGUCGUAAAGCUCUGUUGUUAGGGAAGAACAAGUAACGCAGUAACUGGCGUUACCGUGACGGUACCUAACGAGAAAGCCACGGCUAACUACGUG